rnacentral:rRNA from 1 species
GAUGAACGCUGGCGGCGUGCCUAAUACAUGCAAGUCGAGCGAACGGACGAGAAGCUUGCUUCUCUGAUGUUAGCGGCUGACGGGUGUGUCACACGUGGAUUCCCUACCUAUCAGACUGGGAUAACUUCGGGAAACCGGCGCUAAUACCGGAUAAUAUUUUGAACCGCCUGGUUCAAAAGUGAAAGACUUUCUUGCUGUCACUUAUAGAUGGCUCCCCGCUGCAUUAUCUAGUUGGUAAGGUAACGGCUUACCACGGCAACGAUGCCUAGCCGACCUGAGAGAGUGAUAGCACAAACUGGAGGUGUAACGGCGUCCAGAGUCCUACGGGACGCAGCAGAAGGGAAAAGUCCGCAAUGGGCGGAAGCAUGACAGAACAACGCAACGUGUGAGGUGGAGGUCGUCGGAUCGGGAGACUGUAUUAUGGGGGAAGAACAUAUGUGAGAAUAAAAGUGGAGAACUUGACGGUACCUAAACAAAAAGCCACGGCUAACUACGUG